rnacentral:rRNA from 1 species
AUACGGAGGGUGCAAGCGUUACUCGGAAUCACUGGGCGUAAAGGAUGCGUAGGCGGAUAAUCAAGUCAAAAGUGAAAUCCCACGGCUUAACCGUGGAACUGCUUUCGAAACUGGUUAUCUAGAAUAUGGAAGAGGCAGAUGGAAUUAGUGGUGUAGGGGUAAAAUCCGUAGAGAUCACUAGGAAUACCGAUUGCGAAGGCGAUCUGCUGGGACAUUAUUGACGCUGAGGCAUGAAAGCGUGGGGAGCAAACAGGAUUAGAUACCCUAGUAGUCC